rnacentral:rRNA from 1 species
UACAGAGGGGGCAAGCGUUGUUCGGAAUUACUGGGCGUAAAGGGCGCGUAGGCGGCCCGCUAAGUCGAACGUGAAAUCCCCGAGCUCAACUCGGGAACUGCGUCCGAUACUGGUGGGCUUGAAUUCGGGAGAGGGAUGCAGAAUUCCAGGUGUAGCGGUGAAAUGCGUAGAUAUCUGGAGGAAUACCGGUGGCGAAGGCGGCAUCCUGGACCGACAUUGACGCUGAGGAGCGAAAGCUAGGGGAGCAAACGGG